GCAUGGACGAAUUCUGUUUUACUCUUGAAAUAGUAAAUGCAGUCAGACACCAUGCUAAAUUAUACUUUUCACACACUGACUCAACAACAGGAUAAGAGCACUUGUUGUGUGACUCAUCCUCAAGUCAGAGUGAAUACAGUA